rnacentral:rRNA from 1 species
AGAGUUUGAUCCUGGCUCAGAUUGAACGCUGGCGGCAUGCCUUACACAUGCAAGUCGAACGGCAGCACGGGGGGUAACCCCUGGUGGCGAGUGGCGAACGGGUGAGUAAUAUAUCGGAACGUGUCCUGUAGCGGGGGAUAACCUAUCGAAAGAUGGACUAAUACCGCAUACGACCUACGGGUGAAAGCGGAGGACCGCAAGGCUUCGCACUAUAGGAGCGGCCGAUAUCGGAUUAGCUAGUUGGUGGGGUAACGGCCUACCAAGGCAACGAUCCGUAGCUGGUCUGAGAGGACGGUCAGCCACACUGGAACUGAGACGCGGUCCAGACUCCUACGGGAGGCAGCAGUGGGGAAUUUUGGACAAUGGGCGCAAGCCUGAUCCAGCCAUGCCGCGUGAGUGAAGAAGGCCUUCGGGUUGUAAAGCUCUUUCGGCGGGGACGAAAC